CAGCAGCCACGGGAAUACAGAGGGUGCGAGCGUUAAUCGGAUUUACUGGGCGUAAAGCGUGCGUAGGCGGCUAAUUGAGUCGGAUGUGAAAUCCCCGAGCUUAACUUAGGAAUUGCAUUCGAUACUGGUUAGCUAGAGUGUGGGAGAGGAUGGUAGAAUUCCAGGUGUAGCGGUGAAAUGCGUAGAGAUCUGGAGGAAUACCGAUGGCGAAGGCAGCCAUCUGGCCUAACACUGACGCUGAGGUACGAAAGCAUGGGGAGCAAACAGGAUUAGAUACCCCGGUAGUCCCUGUCUCUUAUAC
rnacentral:rRNA from 1 species